CAGGUUGAGCCUGAGCACCCUGUCCGCCAAGAUAAUUGUAACAUCCCAAUAUUUGUAAUUUGGAUGUUAUCACCUUUUUCAUGUCACAUGCAUAUCAUUCUGACCAUAUUUGAGUUUGGAGAUGAUCUUACAAUUUAAUUGGGAGUUUAUUUGAACCUUAAGAGUGAUUAUAUGCAUUUGUUGGAAUUUAUUUGAGCUGCAUAUGCAUUAAAAAUACUUUUAUAAAUUAUAUUCCAUGAGGAAACUAUUUUUCCUAGCUUCCAAACAGGUAUUUGGAAUUUUAUGAAUUUUCUGGAAUCUUUCCGAUGCCGUUUGGUAUUUUAUUUGCCUUAUUUGAUUUUCUGGCGAUUUAGAGACCCAAAAAAAGCUAUUUCUUUAUUUGUUUUCCUUUUAUUCCGCGGAGUACGUUUUCUCUACAUGGAGGCGUAUUUCCGUGAAACCCGUUUUCACUUAAGUGUACCAAAGGGGUAUCUUUUAAUCUCAUCCAUCAAUUUCCCAUCCAAGGGCCAUCCUUCCUUUUUCCUUUUCCUUUUCUUUUUUUUUCUUUUCUCCUUUCUUCCUUCUUCUUCCUCACGCAAGCACAGGCAUAGCCUGUUCUGGCUGCGUCCAUGGCCAAGCCCAUCCCGGCCGCCGCUGCUGCUCGCCGGCCCCGCCCCGCCGCCCUGGCUCCGCCGCUCGCCGCCGCAGCCCCGCCGCCCGCCCGCGCUACCCCUGCACCGGCCGAGCCCGAGCUCGAGCUCGCGUCGCCGGCGUCCAUGGCCGUCCACCUCGAACACCACCCUCCGAACCGUUUUUCUUCGCGAUUUCUUCGCUAAUUCGUGACCCACAUGGCAAGGAAUCUAUCCCAACAAGAUUGAAACCCUCCCGGACUCUAACUCGUCCGAAUUUUAAGCGAAACCGAAUCCCGUUCAAAUCUCACCCGCCGGCCUUAUCCCGAGCGCCCCGAGCCCUAUAAAUACCCAAACCUGACGCCCUCAAGAGCCCCGACCAAUCUCUCAAAACCUAGCUAGAAGCCGCAGUCAAUCUUGCCACCAAUUUCAAGUUUCGUCCCCGUUUCCACGCAAACUCCGGCAAGUAAUUCCUACCACCUCGCCCCAAAUUAGCCCGAGCCACCACAACCUUUAAGUGCUCAGAAUUGAGUCGUAUGUGUUUGGAAAAAUGUUUUCGAAACAAAACCUCAAAAUGUUUUCAACUGGGCGGAGUGGUAUGUUUGAGACCAUUAUUGGUUGUCGACAAGGGCAACAUCCAAUUCGGCUCUGUAGAUGCUCAGGAUUUUCGGUGGGAACCGCCGUCCAGAAUCUAAAAGUUCAAUUCUUUUCCAAAGGAACCCAAAAGCUUACCUGUACAACCACCUGCUAUUAUGGCUCUGGCUUAGUCAAGUAACUAGCGGGAAACCCUUACUUGGGUAUCGUCAUCCGGAGAGGGGCCAAUGUGCUCAUAUGGGGCGAGCGGUGCCAGUAUUAAGUAUAGGGGGCUUCUAGUGAAAGACUUCGUCACAAUCUUUACCUGUUGCGCAUGCUUGUCGUUAGGCAACACUUCGGACUGAUGGUGUCUGGUGGGUAAAGUGUACAAACCUUUGCAGAGUGUCAAUCUAAUCGAUUAGCCAUGCCCUUGGUUGCGGGCGAUCUUUGAGCUACUAAGUCUGGUUAAGAGGAGAUCUUCUAGUUUUGUUUUGACUCGAUGGAAGCAUCCACAGAAUGAGUAUCUACUCGAUGGAUCCCACAGAAUGGGUCAGGGAAAUCAAGGGUUGCUAUGUGAGUGUCAGUUUGACCCAGAAUACAUAGUUAGGUCGUGGAGAUUUCACAGAAAGACCAUAUCUACUUUUCAAAACUAUUUUCUAUGAAAUUCUAGAUUUAGAGUUUUGCAAAGAAAAGCUAUUAUGAGUAUGUCAAAAUGAAACUUGCUGUUUUGGCAAAAGAACCAUAGAAGCCACUUAGGAACUAUCCAAUAAGCAUGUACUUGCAUUUCUCCUAACCUCACAGGUAUUUAUUUGUGAGUGCAUUCAAUGUACUUAUCUGCACCUAUCAUGUGCAGAGAGUUAUAAUUAAAGGAAGGAGGUACGCACGGUCGCGAGUCUACAUUCAACUUGCCUGUGGCGUGGAUGGAAGCUCAUUUAUCUUCAUUUGAUAUUUUUUAGACUUUCGUUGUGUAAUAAUACUCUGGAUUGUUAUCUUUUAUGCGUUAUAAUAAAGACAUGUAUUGUGAUACUUCAUCAUGAACUGUGGGUACUAUCAUGGAUCCAGGGACUAGUACUAUAAACAUAGUGAUUCCAGGUCUUUAAUGGUCUGGGUCACCACAGAUGGUAUCAGAGCUCAUGUUGCCUAUAGGACGUGACCCUAGUAGUGGAAAAGCCAUAGGGACUUAUUUUAAGUAAAUCAAGAAGAAUAUAUACCUAUAUACUUAUACUCCUAUUCUUGUCUAUCUAACAUGGAUUCUGAUCGACUUUUCCCCUCUUUGUUAAAAAUUGUGUAGAUGGCUGCCAACGGAGAGUUUCACCAGGCUGGACAGGACGACCUUCCCUUUGAGGCGCAGUUGCAUGACGUGACCACAUACCUGCGCAUGCCUGCACCAGAGUUUCGUGCUUACCGUCGCGCGGACCGUCCAGGACACGUCGACGCCGCCGCCAAGAUCCGUGGACGCCAGGUUCACCCCGUCACCAGGGACGUCACCUUCACUGUGGGAGCGGACACUUGGGAGGCUGGCCUGAUAAAGGCCAUGCAGGAGACUCUUGCCCGGAUCUGCGGCGAGUACGCCUCUGAGCUCGUCUUCACCGCCUACGAGGACUUCGGCAAGAAGACCCGAUACGGGAGUCUGUUUCCUCGUACCGGCGGCCUCACCCCCAGCGCCCAGCAGUACGCCGACCUCGAGCGCUACCUCGAUAGCGUCCAGGCUCAGCAGGAGGUCACCAGGAGCAUCUCGGAUGCGCAUCCUCACGCCCGGGAUGAGCUGAACCAGUAGUUAGCCCUGGCUGAUGUUCAGAUCACCGCUCUCAAGCGGGAGCACGAUCUGCUACGAUCUGCUAAAGGCCAAGGACGUGGAGUCUCAGCAGAAGGUGCAGGCACGGGAGGCCCUGAACAACGACGCGAAGGACGAGCUGGGACAGUUGCAGGAGACAGCCUACAUCCUGCAGGAGGAGUUAGAUGAGGUGGUGUAGAAGGCUCAGCGCAAGAACACCAAGAUACAGGAACUGAAGAACCGUGUGGACCUACUUCAGACCAUAGUUGUCGAGCUGGAGGAUGCACUUGAGGAGGCCCGUGACAACGGGGAGGGACGUUCAGGAUGAGGACGAGGCAUUCCUCAGUAAUGACGAGGACUACGAGGAGCAGAUGCAGAUCAGGGUUGAGGAGUUCGACUACGAGAUGGCCGACUCCGGAAACGAGGACGAACCGAUGGAGGAGGAGGAGGACCCCGAGGAGGUUAUCUUCGAGUCCGACGUUGAGACCAACCGUGAUGAGUAGAUGCUACCUUAUUAGAACCCUUUUCGCUUAGUUUUUCCUUAGUUCUUGGUUUAAACAGUACUGACCGAUCAAACUUUGUGGUUGGUAGACUUAGGAUUUUUCGUGAAACUAUUCAUUCGAGUUUGAUUGAGUUUAAUAAAGUCAAGUUUAUUUAAGUCAAUUUAUUUGACUUCUUCAUGCUGCAAGCAUCUAUGGGUAGUUAUGUUCUUAUAGACCCUGCUUUCUCGGCUCUUAUCUUUUCUAGCAAGAUGUCAACGCGCAACACUAGGAGCAACACCGGCAACAACAACACUGGCAACACCAACCCCAACCCCAACACCAACGCUGGCAACAACAACAAUGGAGUACCCGGACUUGCUGAAUUUUUGCAAGCUCAGACUCAGCUAGUGAACCUGCUCACUCAGAACCUGAACCAGAACAACCGCAACAACCCGCCACCUCCACCACCACCCUCCGACCGUUUGACUAGGUUUUUGAGGUUUCACCCACCUACUUUCUCUAGCUCAGCUGAACCCAUUGAAGCAGAUGAUUGGCUUCGCACCAUCCAAAAGAAGCUACUCACCAUCGAGUGCACUGAUCAGGAGAGAGUGCUAUAUGCAAGCCAUCAGCUUGAAGGAGCCGCAGCAGCUUGGUAGGAUACAUUCAAGUUCAGAUUUGGAGGGGAUGAGAUCACAUGGGAUGAUUUUGUUGAAGGUUUCCGCAAAGCUCACGUUCCAGCAGGGAGUAUGGGAUUGAUGGGGAAGGAGUUCCGUGCAUUGCGUCAAGGAUCCAAGACUGUGCAGGAGUAGUUAGAGAGGUUCACUCAGUUAGCUCGCUGUGCCCCUGACGAUGUACCCGAUGAUGAGGAUAAACAGGAGCUAUUCUUGGAUGGUCUGAAUGACGAGCUCAGUGUGCAAUUAGUUUCAUCUGAUUUUCACAGUUUUCUGAAUUUGAUUGACAAGGCAAUCCGCUUAGAAGGCAAGCAGAAGCAAGUGGAGAACCGCAAGAGGAAGGCAAGUAACAAGUUUGGUAUGGGAUUUCACAGCAAGCACCGUACCCAUUCACCUCCAAGGCACCGUCACUUUGGUUCUUCAUCAGGACGAUCCCAUGAGGAGAAACGCCACCACCAGCACAAGGAUCAGGGCCAGCUCCACCAUCAUGGGAGUCAGCAUCGUGGAAGCAACCAUGGAGGUAAUGGCAGCAGCAACAACAGUGGACACCGUCAGCACCGUAGUGGAUCAGCCUCAGAGAAGAAGGACUUGAGUCAAGUGGAAUGCUAUCAUUGCCACAAAUUGGGACACUACUCAACACAGUGUCCGGAGAAGCAGCAAAGCAACAAGAACCAAGGAGACAAGAGGCCUAGCCCCUUUGUGAAGGCCAAGCUGAACCAUGUUUCUGCAGAAGAGGCUUAUGAAGCACCGGACGUCGUAGUUGGUACGUUCCUUAUCAACUCCAACCCAGCAGUUAUAUUAUUUGAUACUGGAGCAUCGCAUUCUUUCAUUUCAAAAGCAUGGGUGCAAAAGCAUGGGGUAGCCACUAAAGCACUUAGAACACCGUUGUUAGUGACAUCCCCUGGGAAAGAAUUCCGAGCAGACCAUUUUUGUCAUGGAGUGUUGAUAAGGCUUGGCAGCGAGACUUUUCCCUCAAACCUUAUCGUACUAGAGUCCCAAGGUUUAGAUGUAAUCCUAGGGAUGGACUGGCUAUCUAGACACAAAGGACACAUAGAUUGUGCUAACCUAGCAGCUACUGUGACCAGCCCGGAAGGAAAGAGAAUCAGAUUUACAUCCAAAGUCAAGCGAAGAAGAGCCAUGGUUAAUGCACUUAAGGGAAGUAGUCUCGAGGAAGUUCCCAUUGUUAAUGAAUACAUGGAUGUGUUUCCAGAGGAUUUACCAGGAAUGCCACCUGAUAGGGAUAUUGAGUUUUUAAUUGAUCUAGUUCCAAGAACUGCCCCAAUAUCCAAAAGACCCUAUAGGAUGCCCGCAAAUGAAUUAGCAGAACUUAAGAAACAGUUGCAAGAAUUGCAAGCAAAGGGGUACAUCAGACCGAGCUCAUCACCUUGGGGAGCACCGGUACUGUUUGUACAGAAGAAGGACAAGAGUAUGAGGAUGUGUGUUGACUAUCGUUCUCUUAACGAGGUCACCAUCAAAAACAAAUACCCUUUACCCAUGAUCAAUGACUUGUUUGAUCAGUUGGAAGGAGCUAGUGUGUUUUCCAAGAUAUAUCUGCGAUCAGGCUAUCAUCAGCUGAAGAUUCGAACCCAAGACAUACCCAAGACGGCAUUCUCUACAAGAUAUGGACUAUAUGAGUACACAGUUACGUCAUUUGGUUUAACCAAUGCCCCAGCCUAUUUUAUGAACAUGAUGAACAAGGUGUUCAUGGAGUUCUUAGAUAAGUUUGUCGUAGUCUUCAUUGAUGACAUUCUUAUUUAUUCCAAGUCUGCUAGUGAGCACGAAGUACACCUUCGGAAGGUAUUGGAUAAGCUUAGAGAGCACCAGCUUUAUGCCAAGUUUAGUAAGUGUGAGUUUUGGCUUAGUGAAGUUGCUUUCCUUGGACACAUUGUGUCAGGAAAAGGACUGGUCGUAGACCCCUCAAAGGUAGAAGCUGUCACUGAAUGGAAGUCACCAAAGUCAGUUCCGGAAGUUAGAAAAGUUUCUUAGGACUUGCGGGAUAUUACUGUAGGUUCAUUGAGAAUUUCUCGAAGAUAGCCAGACCGUUGACCUAGUUAUUGAAGAAAGAAAAGAGGUACGAUUGGACACCUGAGUGUGAAGCAGCAUUUCAGGAAUUGAAGAAGAAGCUAGUUUCAGCACCAGUUUUGAUCCUACCAGUCUAUUGUGAUGCGUCACGCCAAGGUUUAGGAUGUGUUUUGAUGCAGGAAGGAAAGGUAGUUGCAUAUGCGUCGCGUCAACUUCGGCCACAUGAGAUGAAUUACCCCACUCAUGAUUUGGAGCUAGCAGCCGUAGUUCACUCACUUAAGAUAUGGAGACAUUACCUUAUGGGUAACCUCUGUGAUAUUUACACGGACCAUAAGAGUUUGAAGUAUAUAUUCACACAGAAUGAGCUGAAUCUUAGACAAAGAAGAUGGUUGGAACUUAUCAAGAAUUAUGACUUGCUCAUUCAGUAUCACCCAGGCAAAGCUAACAUAGUAGCCGAUGCCCUUAGUCGUAAGAGCCACUGCAAUUUCAUAACGGCAACAAUGAUGCCUACAAAGUUAUGUGACCAGUUUAGGAACCUAAGUUUGGAGGUUGUGCCAAAAGGAUUCCUAGCCACUUUGGAAGUAAAGCCUACUCUUUUGGACAAAAUUAGGGAAGCCCAAAAGAAAGAUGAGAAUUUUGAAAAGAUCAAGCAGAGUAUGAGAAGGAAAAUCUUUAGCGUUCUCCGAGGAUGAGCAUGGAACCAUUUGGUUUGAGGAGGGAAUUUGUGUGCCCCAAGACCCAGAAAUAAAGAAGGUGAUCCUUCAAGAAGGUCAUGACUCACCAUAUUCCAUACACCCAGGAAGCACUAAGAUGUAUCUCGACCUGAAGGAGAAAUUUUGGUGCCCAAGUAUGAAGAGAGAAAUUGCAGAAUAUAUCUCAUUAUGUGAUGUGUGUCAGAGAGUCAAGGCAGAACAUCAGAAACCCGCAGGAUUGUUGCAACCCCUUCCUAUACCGGAGUGGAAGUGGGAUGGAAUUGGUAUGGAUUUUAUCACUGGACUACCUAGAACCCGUUCAAGCUUUGAUUCUAUUUGGGUAGUAGUUGAUCGACUCACUAAAGUCGCCCAUUUCAUCCCCGUCAAGACAACAUAUACAAGUGCCCAGCUAGCCAAGUUGUACAUGACCAGGAUCGUGUGUUUGCAUGGAGUGCCAAAAGAGAUUGCAUCGGAUCGUGGAACCCAAUUCACAUCCAAGUUUUGGGGCCAGCUACAUGAAGCCUUAGGUACUCGAUUGGAGUUUAGUACCGCAUUUCACCCACAAACCGAUGGACAGACUGAGAGGGUGAAUCAGAUAUUAGAAGACAUGUUGAGAGCAUGUGCUUUGGAUUAUGGAUCCAGUUGGGAUGACAACUUACCUUAUGCAGAGUUUUCUUAUAACAAUAGUUUCCAGGCUAGCCUAAAAUUUCCCCGUUUGAAGCUUUGUAUGGGAGGAAAUGUAGGACACCACCUAUGUGGGAUGAAGUUGGAGAACGUCAGUUGUUUGGACCGGACUUAAUCAAGGAUGCCGAAGAAAAGGUUAAGUUAAUUAAGGAUAGACUGAAGGUAGCUCAGUCCCGACAGAAGAGUUAUGCAGAUUCUAAGCGUAAGGAAGUUACGUAUGAACCAGGUGACCGAGCUUACCUCAGAGUUUCGCCACUUAGAGGCGUAAAGAGAUUUGGAAUUAAGGGAAAACUAGCACCUCGCUAUGUGGGACCCUAUAAAAUUCUAGAGCGCCGAGGAGAGGUAGCUUACCAGCUAGAAUUACCAGAAGCUUUGUCCAGCGUGCACAAUGUUUUCCAUGUGUCCCAAUUGAAGAAGUGUUAUGCAGAGGAAUCCAAGUUACCACUUAGAGACACUGUACCAAUAGAAGCAAUUCAGUUGAACGAGGACCUCACCUAUGAGGAACACCCAGUAAAGAUUCUUGAGACGACUGAACGGAUUACUCGAAUGAAGACCAUUCGAUUUUGCAAGGUUCAGUGGAGUCACCAUACAGAGGAAGAGUCCACUUGGGAACGAGAGGAGAACUUGAAGAAGGAUUACCCUCACCUAUUUGCUAGCCAACCCGAAUCUCGAGGACGAGAUUCAUCUUAAGGGGGGUAGGUUUGUAACGUCCCAAUUUUUCUAAUUUGGAUAUUAUCACCUUUUUCAUGUCACAUGCAUAUCAUUUAGACCAUAUUUGAGUUUGGAGAUAAUCUUACAAUUUAAUUGGGAGUUUAUUUGAACCUUAAGAGUGAUUAUAUGCAUUUGUUAGAAUUUAUUUGAGCUGCAUAUGCAUUAAAAAUACUUUUAUAAAUUAUAUUCCAUGAGGAAACUAUUUUUCCAAGCUUCCAAACAGGUAUUUGGAAUCUCAGGAAUUUUCUGGAAUUUUUCCGAUGCCGUUUGGUAUUUUAUUUGCCUUAUUUGAUUUUCUAUCGAUUUAGAGACCACAAAAAAGCUAUUUCUUUAUUUGUUUUUCUUUUAUUCCGCGGAGUACGUUUUCUCUACAUGCACGCAUAUUUCCGUGAAACCCAUUUUCACUUAAGUGUACCGAAGGGGUAUCUUUUAAUCUCAUCCAUCCAUUUCCCAUCCAACGGCCAUCCUUCCUUUUUCCUUUUCCUUUUCUUUUUUUUUCUUUUCUCCUUUCUUCCUUCUUCUUCCUCACGCAAGCACAGGCACAGCCUGUUCUGGCUGCGUCCAUGGCCAAGCUCAGCCCGGCCGCCGCUGCUGCUCGCUGACCCUGGCUCCCCUGCUCGCCGCCGCAGCCCCGCCGCCCGCCCGCGCUGCCCCUGCCACGGCUGAGCCCGAGCUCGAGCUCGAGUCGCCGGCGUCCAUGGCCGUCCACCUCGAACACCACCCUCCGAACCGCUUUUCUCCACGAUUUCUUCGCUAAUUCGUGACCCACACGGCAAGGAAUCUAUCCCAACAAGAUUGAAACCCUCUCGGACUCUGUCUCGUCCGAAUUUUAAGCGAAACCGAAUCCCGUUCAAAUCUCACCCGCCGCCGGCCUUAUCCCGAGCGCCCCGAGCCCUAUAAAUACCCAAACCUGACGCCCUCAAGAGCCCCGACCAAUCCCUCGAAACCUAGCUGGAAGCCGCAGUCAAUCUUGCCACCAAUUUCAAGUUUCGUCGCCGUUUCCACGCAAACUCCGGCAAGUAAUUCCUACCACCUCGCCCCAAAUUAGCCCGAGCCACCACCACCUUUAGAUCCCUAUCGAUGCCUAGAACACCAUACACCACAGCCUUGCCGCCGGACACCUCUGUUUCGCCGAGUCCCAUCAACUCCGGCGAACUUCAUCUUCUCCGGUGAGCUUUCUUGCUCUGUUUUCGAGCUGCAGUCUGUUUUGAUUAGCCUACUUCUAUACUCCGUAUCUUUUGUUCCGUAGAUCCUAUUUAGGAAAUUCUUUUUGCAUCUGGUAGCUUACAUCUUUCUCUAUAAAUUAGACCUCAUUAGAAGCCUCGUCUCUAUCAUCUUCAGCAGUGCAUCUUCGUUCCAAAUCGGUAUUCCCAGUAGUCUGUUUUAGAUUAGAUACCUUUCGACGUUCUUGUUGAGUAGAUUGUAGACCCGUUUAGGGGUUAAGCUUCUGUAGUUUGACGAGUAGGUCUUGUGUUACACCCUGUUAAUUUUGGGCACCUUUUGUAGAUUUAGAUAAUGAACUAAAAGUUUGUCAAAACUAGCUACCUGUACAACCACCUCUUAUUAUGGCUCUGGCUUAGUCAAGUAACUAGCGGGAAACCCUUACUUGGGUAUCGUCAUCCGGAG
rnacentral:lncRNA from 1 species